UAGUUUUUUCUCAUUUGGCACUGAUCCUAGAUGCCUUUAAUUUUGAGUAAAGGAUACCAUCUCUUAUGGCCCCUCCUACCUACUGUACAAAGUACAAAACUGAAACCCAUCAAACCUAAACAAGUGAUUGAAUUUUCCAAAUCUAAGGAUGAGGGAAAAUAUCCUCCAGGACCCAAACCACUGCCACUGCUGGGAAACCUGCACAUGCUUGACCUCAAGAAAACCUACUUGAGCCUGUGUGAGCUGUCUAAGCAAUAUGGGUCAGUUUACACAGUGCACUUUGGCCCCAAAAAAGUGUUAAUAUUGUCAGGAUACAAGACCGUCAAACAGGCACUAGUGAACCUUUCAGAGGAGUUUGGAGACAGAGAUAUUACACCUAUAUUCCAUGAUUUCAACCAGGGUUAUGGGAUUAUGUUUUCCAAUGGUGAAAACUGGAGAGAAAUGAGACGCUUUGCUCUCUCGAACCUGCGAGACUUCGGAAUGGGAAAGAAAAGAAGUGAAGAGUUAAUAAUCAAAGAAACACAAUAUUUAAAAGAGGAAUUUGAGAAGUUUGAUGGAAAACCAUUUGAUACAACUCUGCCAAUAGCCAUGGCUGUUUCAAACGUCAUUUCUGCCAUUGUCUACAGCACCAGAUUUGAGUACAGCGACACUAAGUUACAUCAUAUGAUCAGACGAGCUAAUGAAAACAUGAAGAUGACUGGAUCAGCUUCAGUUCAGCUCUACAACAUGUUUCCUUGGCUUCGUCCUUUUGUGGCAAAUCAGAAACUUAUUAUGAAUAAUGUCAGAGAAACGUUCAAACAAAGCAAGGAACUAUUAAAUGGUCUGAAGAAGACUCUGAACCCUCAGGAGCCCAGAGGAAUCGUUGAUUCUUUCCUCAUACGACAGCAGAAGGACGAGGAAUCUGGCAAAACAGACUCUUUGUACCAUUCAAUGAAUUUAUAUUCUACAAUCAACAAUCUGUUUGCUGCUGGUACUGACUCUACGGCCACAACGCUACGCUGGAGUCUUCUGCUAAUGGCCAAAUACCCUGAAAUACAAGGGUUGAUUGUGCACAGUCCCUCUGGAAGCUCCUCUGGGCUCUUCAGUGGUUUUGCCCUGUUAUAAUGAUAAACUCUUACUAAUAGAGGGCCUGGAGGUGGAAUGGAGAAGAACAGACACAGAGACUCUGGUUCAUCUGUAUCAGAUGGUGUGAUCAGUUGAGUCGUCAUUCAAGAGCUUAGAUUUUGAGACAUAUUUAUCUGAUUUUAGCAGUUCUUUUGGGGAAUAUUCUGAGAUAGAGAAAUAGAGGACAAUCUUAUAGAGAUGCACAUUAGGGAGGAUGAUAAGGGUACUUGAAUUGUCCUCUUCAGGGUUUAUGAACACAGCUGUUGCCAUGACGAUUCCAUUUCCACAGACAUGCGGGAACAACGGCUCAAUCACUCUUCUCAGUCAACAAUCUCAGUCUUUUUCAGUCGGAUGUUGAAUGUGUCAAGAGAAUCUCAGUAGGACUGAGUGCUUACAGAACAUAAGUGUCUCAACAUCUUUGAGAAAGAGAUGAGCUGCUGUUGAAGUGUCUUCCACACGUGUUCACCAAUAUUACACUUCAGUUUGAAUAUUUCUACACUGCAGGGUCCAAUUCAAUUAUAUGAAAUCACAUGCAUCAUUUUAACUAAUUUCAUCUGUCUUCCAUGUACAAAUUAUUGGUUAUCAGCAGCAAAGAACGUUUGCAUUCAUGAAAAUCACAAGAUGUAACUUUUAAAAAGCUUUCUCUAAAUCUGAUCUAAAUCUCUAAAUCACAUUCUAUGAAUAAAUGAUGGACAGUAAAUAAAUAAUAUUUAAUGUGG